rnacentral:lncRNA from 1 species
CUCUCCCACACUGACCAACGCUGUGAGACAGAACGGAGGCAAAGCUGAGGGAGAAGAUCCCGUGCUGCCAGCAUCCUGGUCUCAGGCCUUCCCCAAACAUCGAAGGUUUGUGAAGACACUGCUGCCCUGCAGAUGGCAGGUGUGGGCGCUGGCCUGGUGUCACCACCGCCUCGUGCAAGGCAGGGCUCUGCCGGCUGUCUCCCCUGUGGAAUCUGGGAUCACAUCCCUCUCACCAUCCUGAGGAUUCGUUUUCUUCUUCAAACCUUCCUCUGGGCCCUUUCCUGCUUAUUUUUGGAAAAUCCACGCCAUGCGGUCAUCCACCCUGCAUGUUUAUUUGGCAGCUGCAACACCCGAAUGUUCACCCAAGAGGCACCAGAGAGAACACCCCUGGGAAAC